rnacentral:rRNA from 1 species
AGAGUUUGAUCCUGGCUCAGAUUGAACGCUGGCGGAAUGCUUUACACAUGCAAGUCGAACGGCAGCACGGGGGCAACCCUGGUGGCGAGUGGCGAACGGGUGAGUAAUACAUCGGAACGUGCCCAGUCGUGGGGGAUAACGUAGCGAAAGCUACGCUAAUACCGCAUACGAACUCUGGUUGAAAGCGGGGGAUCGCAAGACCUCGCGCGAUUGGAGCGGCCGAUGGCAGAUUAGGUAGUUGGUGGGGUAAAGGCCUACCAAGCCGACGAUCUGUAGCUGGUCUGAGAGGACGACCAGCCACACUGGGACUGAGACACGGCCCAGACUCCUACGGGAGGCAGCAGUGGGGAAUUUUGGACAAUGGGCGCAAGCCUGAUCCAGCCAUUCCGCGUGCAGGAUGAAGGCCCUCGGGUUGUAAACUGCUUUUGUACGGAACGAAAAGGCUCUGGUUAAUACCUGGGGCUCAUGACGGUACCGUAAGAAUAAGCACCGGCUAACUACGUGCCAGCAGCCGCGGUAAUAC